UACGGGGGGGGCAAGCGUUGUUCGGAAUUACUGGGCGUAAAGGGCUCGUAGGUGGCCAACUAAGUCAGACGUGAAAUCCCUCGGCUUAACCGGGGAACUGCGUCUGAUACUGGAUGGCUUGAGUUCGGGAGAGGGAUGCGGAAUUCCAGGUGUAGCGGUGAAAUGCGCAGAUAUCAGGAGGAACACCAAUGGCGAAGGCAGCUCGCUGGAACGGUACUGACGCUGAGGCGCGAAAGCGUGGGGAGCAAACAGG
rnacentral:rRNA from 1 species